rnacentral:rRNA from 1 species
GAACGUACGCUGGCGGCACGCCUAACACAUGCAAGUCGAACGAAGUAGCAAUACUUAGUGGCAGACGGGUGAGUAACAUGUGGGUAUCUGCCCUUUGGCCUGGAAUAACACGAGGAAACUUGUGCUAAUACCGGAUAAGUCUUUACGGAGAAAGCUUUAUGCACCAUUGGAUGAGCCUGCACUUGAUUAGUUUGUUGGUGGGGUAAUGGCCUACCAAGACUGUGAUCAAUAGCUGAUUUGAGAGGAUGAUCAGCCACAUUGGGACUGAGACACGGCCCAAACUCCUACGGGAGGCAGCAGUGGGGAAUCUUGCACAAUGGAGGAAACUCUGAUGCAGCGAUGCCGCGUGAGUGAAGAAGGCCUUUGGGUUGUAAAGCUCUUUCGUCGGGGAAGAAAAUGACUGUACCCGAAUAAGAAGGUCCGGCUAACUUCGUGCCAGCAGCCGCGGUAAUACGAAGGGACCUAGCGUAGUUCGGAAUUACUGGGCUUAAAGAGUUCGUAGGUGGUUGAAAAAGUUAGUGGUGAAAUCCCAGAGCUUAACUCUGGAACUGCCAUUAAAACUUUUCAGCUAGAGUAUGAUAGAGGAAAGCAGAAUUUCUAGUGUAGAGGUGAAAUUCGUAGAUAUUAGAAAGAAUACCAAUUGCGAAGGCAGCUUUCUGGAUCAUUACUGACACUGAGGAACGAAAGCAUGGGUAGCGAAGAGGAUUAGAUACCCUCGUAGUCCAUGCCGUAAACGAUGUGUGUUAGACGUUGGAAAUUUAUUUUCAGUGUCGCAGGGAAACCGAUAAACACACCGCCUGGGGAGUACGACCGCAAGGUUAAAACUCAAAUGAAUUGACGGGGACCCGCACAAGUAGUGGAGCAUGUGGUUUAAUUCGAAGAUACGCGCAGAACCUUACCAACACUUGACAUGUUCGUCGCGACUCUAAGAGAUUAGAGUUUUCGGUUCGGCCGGACGAAACACAGGUGCUGCAUGGCUGUCGUCAGCUCGUGUCGUGAGAUGUUGGGUUAAGUCCCGCAACGAGCGCAACCCUCACUUUUAGUUGCCAUCAUUAAGUUGGGCACUCUGAAAGAACUGCCAGUGAUAAGCUGGAGGAAGGUGGGGAUGACGUCAAGUCCUCAUGGCCCUUACGUGUUGGGCUACACACGUGCUACAAUGGUAUCUACAACAGGAAGCAAGACUGCGAAGUUAAGCAAAUCCCUAAAAGAUACCUCAGUUCGGAUUGCACUCUGCAACUCGAGUGCAUGAAGCUGGAAUUACUAGUAAUCGUGGAUCAGCGUGCCACGGUGAAUGCGUUCCCGGGUCUUGUACACACCGCC